UGGGGAAUAUUGCGCAAUGGGGGAAACCCGUGACGCAGCAACGCCGCGUGAAGGAUGAAGGCUUUCGGGUUGUAAACUUCUUUGAUCGGGGACGAAGAUGACGGUACCCGGGGAACAAGCCACGGCUAACUACGUGCCAGCAGCCGCGGUAAUACGUAGGUGGCAAGCGUUGUCCGGAAUUACUGGGUGUAAAGGGCGUGUAGGCGGGGCGGCAAGUCAGAUGUGAAAUACCGUGGCUUAACUGCGGGGGUGCAUCUGAAACUGCUGCUCUUGAGUGUCGGAGAGGAAAGUGGAAUUCCCAGUGUAGCGGUGAAAUGCGUAGAGAUUGGGAGGAACACCAGUGGCGAAGGCGGCUUUCUGGACGAUAACUGACGCUGAGGCGCGAAGGCGUGGGUAGCAAACAGGAUUAGAUACCCUGGUAGUCCACGCCGUAAACGAUGGAUACUAGGUGUAGGAGGUAUCGACCCCUUCUGUGCCGCAGUUAACACAAUAAGUAU
rnacentral:rRNA from 1 species